AUUGAACGCUAGCGGGAUGCUUUACACAUGCAAGUCGAACGGCAGCGCGGACUUCGGUCUGGCGGCGAGUGGCGAACGGGUGAGUAAUGUAUCGGAACCUGCCCAGUAGCGGGGGAUAACUACGCGAAAGCGUAGCUAAUACCGCAUACGCCCUACGGGGGAAAGCAGGGGAUCGUAAGACCUUGCACUAUUGGAGCGGCCGAUAUCGGAUUAGCUAGUUGGUGAGGUAACGGCUCACCAAGGCGACGAUCCGUAGCUGGUUUGAGAGGACGACCAGCCACACUGGGACUGAGACACGGCCCAGACUCCUACGGGAGGCAGCAGUGGGGAAUUUUGGACAAUGGGGGCAACCCUGAUCCAGCCAUCCCGCGUGUGCGAUGAAGGCCUUCGGGUUGUAAAGCACUUUUGGCAGGAAAGAAACGUCGCGGGCUAAUACCCCGUGGAACUGACGGUACCUGCAGAAUAAGCACCGGCUAACUACGUG
rnacentral:rRNA from 1 species